rnacentral:rRNA from 1 species
CCUACGGGAGGCAGCAGUGAGGAAUAUUGGUCAAUGGACGAGAGUCUGAACCAGCCAAGUAGCGUGAAGGAUGACUGCCCGAUGGGUUGUAAACUUCUUUUAUAAAGGAAUAAAACGAGGCACGUGUGCCUUUUUGCAUGUACUUUAUGAAUAAGGAUCGGCUAACUCCGUGCCAGCAGCCGCGGUAAUACGGAGGAUCCGAGCGUUAUCCGGAUUUAUUGGGUUUAAAGGGAGCGUAGAUGGGUUGUUAAGUCAGCGGUAAAAUUUCGGGGCUCAACCCCGUCGUGCCGUCGAAACUGGCGUUCUUGAGUGAGCGAGAAGUAUGCGGAAUGCGUGGUGUAGCGGUGAAAUGCAUAGAUAUCACGCAGAACUCCGAUUGCGAAGGCAGCAUACCGGCGCUCAACUGACGCUCAUGCACGAAAGCGUGGGUAUCGAACAGGAUUAGAUACCCCUGUAGUC